CUUUGCUGGCCCUUUCUGUGGCUUCACUGUUCUCUCCUUUCGCCUUUCCAGCUCAGGACGAAUGCUGUAGAGAGGGAAGCCAUACCUGAAGUAGUCGUAGCCACAAUACAGUUCACGAUCCUUGACGAAAGUGUUCAGGUUCUGGAAGUUAAAGCGCACACAUUUAUGAGCGGUGCUGGCCGUCUUUCCUUUCUUGAGGAUCCCUGUGAGGUGUUGUGGCUCAUCGAUUUUGUUGGCUGAAUCUGUUGCUUCCUCUGUUACUGUUUUGUGAGCCUCUGGCAGUUUGUUUACUGCUUCCUUUGCUGGCUCUUCCUGUGGCUCCACUGCUCUCUCCUUUAGGCUUUUCAGCUCAGGACGAAUGCUGGAGAGAGGGAAGCCAUACUUGCAGUAGUCGUAGGCACAGUACAGCUCACGAAUUUUGACGAAAGUGUUCAGGUUUUGGAAGUUGAACCUGAUAGUUUUCUUGACCGGGGUUUGAGAUGCAUCCCGCUGUUUGAAGCUGCUGAUAAGGGGCAUCUUUUCCGGUGGGCCGGUAACGGCCUUGCUCCUGCUGGAAGGAGCGUCCCCAGCAGUGCCUUGGUGCCCGGAGGGGAGCUCAUCGUAUACCUCCUUUAUUUUCUCUCUCUUGACCAUGUGCAGAGUAAUUACGAGAGUUUGAACCCUCUUGCCAUGGCUCUCCAAUUGCGUGCUGUCUUUUUGU